UAAUAGAUUUUUAUAUCACUGGCCGUCCAUAGAAAGUAGUAAAGGAUUUGGUGGUUGAUACCUGAGAUCCAAGUUCGAAUCCUAGUUGAUUCAUAUUUCUAGCUAAGUUUAUUUCUGAAUGAAAUAAACGAAUCAGGUAACAUGCUAUCUAUCUCUCAAAAAAAAAAAAAGAUUUUUAUAUCUCUUCUUCUUAUAGAUUCUCUUAUCU
rnacentral:lncRNA from 1 species